CCUACGGGAGGCUGCAGUGGGGAAUAUUGGACAAUGGGGGGAACCCUGAUCCAACGACGCCGCGUGAGUGAAGAAGUAUUUCGGUAUGUAAAGCUCUAUCAGCAGGGAAGAAAAUGACGGUACCUGACUAAGAAGCCCCGGCUAACUACGUGCCAGCAGCCGCGGGAAUACGUAGGGGGCAAGCGUUAUCCGGAUUUACUGGGUGUAAAGGGAGCGUAGACGGUGCAGCAAGUCUGAUGUGAAAGGUCGGGGCCCAACCCCGGGACUGCAUUGGAAACUGUUGAACUGGAGUACAGGAGAGGUAAGCGGAAUUCCUAGUGUAGCGGUGACAUGCGUAGAUAUUAGGAGGAACACCAGUGGCGAAGGCGGCUUACUUGACUGUAACUGACGUUGCGGCUCGAAAGCGUGGGGAGCAAACAGGAUUAGAUACCCGUGUAGUC
rnacentral:rRNA from 1 species